UAUGUCUAGGUGUAUGAUGCACAAGGGUUUUUGAUACCCUAGGGGAUAGUUUAAAUCUAUUAGAUAUAA
rnacentral:tRNA from 1 species